rnacentral:rRNA from 1 species
AACGAACGCUGGCGGCAUGCCUAACACAUGCAAGUCGAACGAGACCUUCGGGUCUAGUGGCGCACGGGUGCGUAACGCGUGGGAACCUGCCCUUAGGUUCGGAAUAACUCCCCGAAAGGGGUGCUAAUACCGGAUAAUGUCUUCGGACCAAAGAUUUAUCGCCUUUGGAUGGGCCCGCGUUGGAUUAGCUAGUUGGUAGGGUAAAAGCCUACCAAGGCGACGAUCCAUAGCUGGUAUGAGAGGAUGAUCAGCCACACUGGGACUGAGACACGGCCCAGACUCUUACGCGAGGCAGCAGUGGGGAAUAUUGGAAAAUGGGCGGAAGCCUGAUCCAGCAAUGCUGCGUGAGUGAUGAAGGCCUUAGGGUUGUAAAGCUCUUUUACCCGGGAUGAUAAUGACAGUACCAGGAGAAUAAGCACCGGCUAACUCCGUG